rnacentral:rRNA from 1 species
UACAGAGGUCUCAAGCGUUGUUCGGAAUCACUGGGCGUAAAGGGUGCGUAGGUGGCGUGGUAAGUCAGAUGUGAAAGCCCGGGGCUCACCCUCGGAACUGCAUCCGAUACUGCCAUGCUUGAGAACUGGAGAGGAGUCUAGAAUUCACGGUGUAGCAGUGAAAUGCGUAGAUAUCGUGAGGAAUACCAAAGGCGAAGGCCGGACUCUGGACAGUUUCUGACACUGAGGCACGAAGGCUAGGGUAGCGAACGGG